AAUAGAUACCCGGGUAGUCCACGCCGUAAACGAUGAGUGCUAAGUGUUAGAGGGUUUCCGCCCUUUAGUGCUGCAGCUAACGCAUUAAGCACUCCGCCUGGGGAGUACGGUCGCAAGACUGAAACUCAAAGGAAUUGACGGGGGCCCGCACAAGCGGUGGAGCAUGUGGUUUAAUUCGAAGCAACGCGAAGAACCUUACCAGGUCUUGACAUCCUCUGACAACUCUAGAGAUAGAGCGUUCCCCUUCGGGGGACAGAGUGACAGGUGGUGCAUGGUUGUCGUCAGCUCGUGUCGUGAGAUGUUGGGUUAAGUCCCGCAACGAGCGCAACCCUUGAUCUUAGUUGCCAGCAUUUAGUUGGGCACUCUAAGGUGACUGCCGGUGACAAACCGGAGGAAGGUGGGGAUGACGUCAAAUCAUCAUGCCCCUUAUGACCUGGGCUACACACGUGCUACAAUGGAUGGUACAAAGGGCUGCAAGCCGCGAGGUCAAGCCAAUCCCAUAAAACCAUUCUCAGUUCGGAUUGUA
rnacentral:rRNA from 1 species